CAUGCAAGUCGAGCGAACGGACGAGAAGCUUGCUUCUCUGAUGUUAGCGGCGGACGGGUGAGUAACACGUGGAUAACCUACCUAUAAGACUGGGAUAACUUCGGGAAACCGGAGCUAAUACCGGAUAAUAUUUUGAACCGCAUGGUUCAAAAGUGAAAGACGGUCUUGCUGUCACUUAUAGAUGGAUCCGCGCUGCAUUAGCUAGUUGGUAAGGUAACGGCUUACCAAGGCAACGAUGCAUAGCCGACCUGAGAGGGUGAUCGGCCACACUGGAACUGAGACACGGUCCAGACUCCUACGGGAGGCAGCAGUAGGGAAUCUUCCGCAAUGGGCGAAAGCCUGACGGAGCAACGCCGCGUGAGUGAUGAAGGUCUUCGGAUCGUAAAACUCUGUUAUUAGGGAAGAACAUAUGUGUAAGUAACUGUGCACAUCUUGACGGUACCUAAUCAGAAAGCCACGGCUAACUACGUGCCAGCAGCCGCGGUAAUACGUAGGUGGCAAGCGUUAUCCGGAAUUAUUGGGCGUAAAGCGCGCGUAGGCGGUUUUUUAAGUCUGAUGUGAAAGCCCACGGCUCAACCGUGGAGGGUCAUUGGAAACUGGAAUACUUGAGUGCAGAAGAGGAAAGUGGAAUUCCAUGUGUAGCGGUGAUAUGCGCAGAGAUAUGGAGGUACACCAGUGGCGAAGGCGACUUUCUGGUCUGUAACUGACGCUGAUGUGC
rnacentral:rRNA from 1 species